rnacentral:rRNA from 1 species
CUCGUAGGUGGCCAACUAAGUCAGACGUGAAAUCCCUCGGCUUAACCGGGGAACUGCGUCUGAUACUGGAUGGCUUGAGAUGGGGAGAGGGAUGCGGAAUUCCAGGUGUAGCGGUGAAAUGCGUAGAUAUCUGGAGGAACACCGGUGGCGAAGGCGGCAUCCUGGACCAACACUGACACUGAGGAGCGAAAGCCAGGGAGCAAACG